CUUCUAUAAUUCUUUAUUAAAUAUUUGACAAGUUGCAUCACUUCUUUACAAUGACUUCAUUUUGUCACAUGACUCUCUGCUGUCAGGAAAACAAUCUACCAUUUCUUUUUAGAUCUCUCAAGAAAAAGGAAAAGCAAAAAGGAUUUGUUCUUAAACAAAACUUUUCCUGUGUGUAUCAACUUCAACCAUAUUUUAAAGCUAUUCUGAUUGUGAAAAUGAGCAUUAUCCAUAAGUUGUUUUUAAAAAAUUUCAAAGUUUGGUUUUUAAUCACUGUAUCAAAUAGUAUUUGGCUUUAUAUUAGGAGGUGGGUUUAUAAUAAAAAGUUAAGAAACAUUGAGAAUUCAUUUGGAAUGCUUGAAACUCGUUUCACCUUAAAAGUCACUGUUUUUUUUUCAUGUUUCGUUUGAUAACAGAUCCUGAAUUAAGAAAUGACAGCAAAUUAACAUCAUCUUCCUGGGGUUCUCUCAGGCUCCAAGGGUCAGAAUCCUCAGGAUACAGCUUGGAGAAAACUGUAGAAGGCAUGAAGCUCUCACUCCCUUUCAAAACCAGAUUAUGCAAGAAAGGUGUAAAAAUGCUACACAAAUAUAUACAUAUAUAUAUUUGGACAGCAUAGGUACGUAUAUAUGUAUAUACAUUACAUCCAUAGUAAUAAAGGAAGAACAAGGUCACGCAAAAUUAACAUGAAGGAAACUGUGACAAUCUAGGUGAAAUCAGAGUAAGAGGGGCAAACUGGCUUAUAGAGGAACACGAUGUCUGUAGACAUAGGGUCAUGGUCAUGAGAACGGCUUUUGAUGCACUGGUACGUGGUGGAGAAUGCAGUACACAGAGGUCUGUAGCCAAUGUUGUUAGAUUCCUGUUACUCCUUACAAACAUAAAACCAACCAACAAAAAGACAUGCAUUUUACACAUGCGUUGCUUUGCGCGUAACAUCUUUAACGAAGGACAGAUGUUUAAUGAGAGGUUUUCUUGGAAAACUUCAUACAAACAGAAAGCUAUCCUUUUCUAUAAAACAUUACAAGAGCUCAUGUCCCUAAUGCUACAGCACUGUCUCUGACACACCGAAAACACUCCGGGGAGGGGGGUGUGUGCGUAUGCAAGUGUAUAUACACGGUUCGUUAAGGCUUAGAUAAAUCAAAAAAAGUGGUCCAAAGUAUAUCACAUUUUCUUCCCAGUUUUAAAAUCUAAAGUACAAAGUGGAGUUUAUAAGGAUUUUUUAAAACACAUCUCAAACCUGAAAUUGGCAGUUUUGACAUGACUUAUCAGGAUGUACCCCAAAGCCUGAAUGAGACAGAGGUAGUGCAUGAUCUCCUGGGGGUCAUGAAGGGAGCAAGCCAGGCAGUUACCCUGCACAGCAGCACCCCCUACUGGCAAGGCAGAAAAUGAUACCAGACAGCCUGUCCCCUCCGCUCCGUCAGUACAGAGUUAGAGCGAGGAGGAAAGAGGCAAAGAAAGCAGACAGCACAGUGGGGAGGGGCUCGAGAACGGACUAACCCAGGCUCUCUUUCAAGGUUUUAAAAUUUCAGAGGUGAGAUACAAAACUUAGGAAAAUACUAGAGUCAAGUGUUAAACAUUUAGCAACUGUUAGAACAAUGAGUAACUUGCUGCAUAUGAACUUGGCUUUCAAGAGAGCCAAUGUGGAUCUGACAAGAUCAAACAGCAAUAGUACAUGUUGUCUAUUUAACAAUGUGAGAUGUAGAAACUGGGCUCAAAUAUUUUGCAAACCGUUUCUAUUCUGCACUGCAUCCUUCUGUGGGAGCACUCAUCUGUGUCUGGUUGCUUUAUAACAUUGGUCAUCUGACCUUAGGGAACAUUUGAUGUCAGCUACCAAAGGGCCUUGGGAACAAAAUCAAAGAAGCAUCUUACAUUCUUGUGAUUUGGUAGAGGACUGGCUACAGAAAAGUAAAUAAUGGAAAACGUUUCAAAGGAAAAAAGAUUCGAGCAUCGAAGCUGAAUACAACUUUAAAACAGACAAACGCCUCCCUGUUUCCUGCUCCAGGGACAGCAGGUAGAUUCGCAGCGCAACACCUGAAGCUAAUCCCCCUGGGCGGACUCGCCAAAUUCAUCCUCAGGCCAACAAGGGGCAGGGAUAGAAACACCCGGGACCUACAGGCGUGUGUGAUAACUGAUGUUAAAAGGCCUUCAACAUGCAAUAUGUCAACUCUGGAACUUCUUAGUCUCAUGGCCAACUGGCCCACAGUAUCUACACUUUCUUCAGGGAACUAAAGAAACUGGAUUCAGGUAAUUCCUAAGAAAACAGAGGCUACAGAGACCCUGGACUUCAGAGUGGCAUCGCUGCCAAGGACAACUAGAAUAGGCGACACCGCCCUCCUCCUCCAGACCUGCUGACUGGAGUGGGCGGAGGCCCAAGGAAUGGCCCAGCAGUCUGCUCUCAUGCAGAGCAUUUUCUUUACUGCCAUCCGCAAUUACGUCAUGAAGACGACGGAGAGUGGUCAUUAGGACUUAGAGAAAACAAGAUAUAUGACUAUUCUAGACAAAGAGUGAAAUACCAAGCAUUGUUGAGAAGUAGGGAAUCUUAUUUGGAUUAAAACAAAACCCCCAAACCCAGCACUAUUUAGCUGUCACUGAAAUCAGAUAUUAAGGGGUAGAUGAAAUAAACUGUCAUUCACAAUUACUGCCUUUCAAGCAUUCAUAGGGGUAUAUUUCGAUAACUCUUAUCUGUUCCUGGCUUAGAAAUUAUCUUGGAACGGUUUUUCUUUCAUAUUUUCAAUACUUUGCCUAAUUUGCAUUUAGUGAAUACUCUGAUUUUCUGAAUAUACAGUUCACAAAAUGUCAGAAGAAUCCCAGCUCUUUGACUAGAUUUCUCCCCCUACAGUUCCAUGGUCACUCUCAGAACCCAACCCAACUCACUCAGGCUGUGCCACGAGCCCUAUAAAGAAAGCCCACUCUGGACGAGGAGGGGCCACAAGAAGGGGGUUUUUUGCCAUUGAGUCAAUAUUUGUCAUAUUGACUGAAGGGAAAAAAAUCCCACCAAUAGAUAAAAAUAACGAACAAUAUUGUUUUUUCUAAUUAUUCAACACCAAAGUUUUCUGAUCACUACUGGAUAUUUUUAAAUAUGAAAAGUGAGCUAAUCCUCAGCUCCGCAGAAAUUCACCUUCUUUUUGACACCUCCGACCGCUGCACUACUUUAGGCAACUCAUUUAUAACCACACACAUUGGUGGCUUCUCACAAGCCACCCAGAGCUGGGUCAACAAGAACUUCUUACACCAAAAAGUCCUUCUGACCUAACAGAGGCCCUGAAACCACAAUUUUUUGUCUUAUCUACAACUGGCAAGAGAUCAGAUCUCGAGCAGCCCUCACUGCCACAGCGGGCUAUAGGACAACAGGUUACAAAGGACAGCGGGGUGAACUCCCAUGCUCCCUCAGGCGCUCUCUCAAAACACGACAGAACUCUGCAAUGGAGACUCACAAGUGGCAAAGAAUCAAACUGCACAGACACCCUCAAUCCCCCGCCACUACCAGCUUAACAGCUUGACCACAGUGGCAGAACAACUUCCCUCUCUAAUCU